rnacentral:rRNA from 1 species
AGGAUUAACGCUGGCGGCGUGCAUGAAACAUGCAAGUCGAGCGCGGUGCGUGGCUUCGGUCACGCAUCUAGCGGCGCACGGGUGAGUAACACGUGAGCAACCUACCUUCGAGUUCGGGAUAGCCCUGGGAAACCAGGAUUAAUACCGGAUGUGGUCACAACGGGACAUCCCGAUGUGAAAAAAGGCGCAAGCCGCUCGAUGACGGGCUCGCGGCCUAUUAGCUUGUUGGUGGGGUAACGGCCUACCAAGGCGACGAUGGGUAGCUGGUCUGAGAGGACGAUCAGCCACACUGGGACUGAGACACGGCCCAGACUCCUACGGGAGGCAGCAGUUAGGAAUUUUCCGCAAUGGGCGAAAGCCUGACGGAGCAACGCCGCGUGUGUGAUGAAGGCCUUCGGGUUGUAAGCACUGUCGGAGGGAAGAAUGAAUGACGGUACCUCCAAGAAGCCCGGCUAACUACGUGCCAGCAGCCGC